GACUCUAGACCUGCCAUUCAAACCAAAGUCAGUUUUAGAACUGGAUCACUAUGCAGAACCAACUGGCAAUUCUCUUCAUACAGAUCACGUGUUUCUAUUAUGUGAAUUGCAAAGAAGAGGUUACCCAACUCCCUCUAUCAACUUCUGCUGUAGGAGGUGGCAUGUUUAAUAUGACAUGUGAAUAUACAACCACUCUGUAUAGCCUCCAGUGGUACAAACAGGUGCCUGGGGAGAAGUUCCAGUUUCUGAGAAUCCAAAGGGUGGAUGAAGAGUUUCAAGAUGGCAGAUUUGUAUUUCAGCUGCAGAAAGAGAAGCAGCUCAGCACCCUGACUAUCAGGCAGGUGGAAGUGUCAGACUCAGGCACCUAUUGGUGUGCUCUGGAGGCACAGUGCUAGACAGCAGCUCCUCACUGAACAAAAACUGCUUUGCCUACCAACCUUUAGAUAUACAGUAUUUUCACUGGACUACAUAACCAUGCUAUAUGGCAUGGCAUUACACAAAAACAUGCAUACAUACAUGUAAGGGCUCUAUUAUUCAGAAACCCAUUAUCCACAAAGCUUUUCCAUAGUGACUUAUAUA